GUUUUGGUUUGCUUACAAUAAUCAACAAUAAGUGUCUAUUCAGCUUAACUGAAUCUUGAAAACUCAUGUAAUGGGAAUAUGUUGUUUCUUAUUGCCUGGUUCGUUUUGGUUCCCUGAAACUGACCUGAAUACGAGAAAAUCUAGGUUAAAAAUAAGGCAUAUUGAUUAUGGAAAAGAAAAAGCAAAAAAGAAAAACAAAAUUAUUAGCUUACUUUGUUCGAAAGGGGUUCUGUUUCCGUUGCAGCAGAAACGUGGGUUCUCUCCCGUAUCUUCUUUGUUUUUCCUCUGUAUCAUUUCUUUUAAUCCUUCUUUACUUAAUUUUCAAAUACCACCCUUAAGUUUUUUUGGACAAUUACGGUAGCUUUAAUUCUGAAUCAUCUGGGAG
rnacentral:misc_RNA from 1 species